rnacentral:rRNA from 1 species
CGUGUAGGCGGCUCUGCAAGUCAGAUGUGAAAUUCCCGGGCUUAACCCGGGCGCUGCAUCUGAAACUGCAGAACUUGAGUACUGGAGAGGAUAGUGGAAUUCCUAGUGUAGCGGUAAAAAUGCGUAGAUAUUAGGAGGAACACCAGUGGCGAAGGCGGCUAUCUGGACAGUAACUGACGCUGAGGCGCGAAAGCGUGGGGAGCAAACA